CUCAUAGCGGGAGUCGGUGAUUGUUUCUUGCCUUUAUUUAUGAUAAAUAGAUAUUUUAAGUAAAAAAUUGUAUUUUAUAUAGAUAAGUAAAAUAAUGAAAGUCUGUUGUUAGGCUAUAGUUUAGUUUGUACUGUGUAGGAUAGUUUGUUCAAUUAAAAUAAAGAAAACUUUAAUUUUUGUACCUUUUGUAUCAGGGAUGAUCAAAAUAUUUAGUUUAUUAAUUUCAGUCUCGAAGUGGAAUGAGCGAGUAAGUUAAGUUUGUUUAUGUGGAACAAUGAAAUUAUUAAUAGCUUAUUAGUGAUGAAAUGUCAGUCGAGUUCUAUAUAUCUAGUUUUUCUUGAAAAAAGUUUAAUUUGAUCUUUUACCAAAACUGGUAGGAGUUGUAUUUUAAGAGGGAAGAGCUUCUUAAAAGUUAUGAAUACAGCGGGUAAAGUCUUAUUCUUUUUAUUUAGGCUUAAAAUCAGCCAUUUUUUUAAAUCGUUCUAGAUAAUAAAGAUUUAAAGAUUUAUUUGUAUCUCGUUUAUUGUUAAAUAAGGAAAACUUAAUUCUAACUUGUACUAUUGUAUUAUAAUGUUUAUAUUAGUAAAUUAUUUUGUGAAUCAUUUAUUUAAAUUUUGUAUAAAUAUUUUAUGGUUUGUGUAAACAAAAUUGAAGAAUUCGGCAAAUUUUGCUUCUGCCUGUUUAUCAAAAACAUGUCUGCACGGGUUAGUUGAUGUGCAGUCUGGCCUGCCCCCUGAAUUUUAAAGGGCCGCGGUAUUUGGACCGUGCUAAGGUAGCAUAAUAAAUAGUCUUUUAAUUGUAGUCUAGUAUGAAUGGUCGGACAUGAGGCAAGCUGUUUUAAUUUUGAUAUUUGAAUUUUACUUUUAAGUGAAAAGGCUUAGAUUAAAUGGUGGGACGAUAAGACCCUAUAAAGCUUUACGUUUUAUUUUUCAGUUGAGGGAUUUAAGGUUUCUUAUUCUUAUUAAGUGAAGCGUUUCGUUGGGGCGACGGGAAUAUAAAUGAGUAACUGUUUUUAUUUAAAAAAUAUGUUUUUAUAGGCGAAUUGAUCCUUUUUAGAGAUUACAAGAUUUAAGUUACUUUAGGGAUAACAGCGUAAUUUAUCUUGAGAGUUCAUAUCGACAGAUAUAGUUGCGACCUCGAUGUUGAAUUAAAAUAUCCUCCAGGUGUAGCAGUUUUGGUGGUAGGUCUGUUCGACCUUUAAAAUUUUACAUGAUUUGAGUUCAGACCGGCGUGAGCCAGGUUAGUUUCUAUCUUUCAUUUAUGUUAUGAUUAUUUUAGUACGAAAGGAGAGAGUAGUCAAAAAAUUUUUUUUAAAAGAUGAUCGGUAAUUACCUUGGCAGAUGAAUGUGUUAGAUUUAGGAUCUAUUUAUAU
rnacentral:rRNA from 1 species